AAGUUGCGCCCGAUGCCAUCAGGCUAAGGGCACGCCUGCCUGGGCGUCGUGUGCUGCGUCUCUCCUGUCAAUGCUUUCAUGUCAUAUAGAUAGGUUUGCAUUGCGUGGAUGUGAAAGAUUGGCCCCUUGUGCCUAGGUGCGGUGGGUCUAAGGACUAGUGUUUUGAUGGU
rnacentral:rRNA from 1 species